GGGGCUUAUAUGGACGUCCCAAUUAAUGAAAUGCCUGCAAGUCUAGGUUUCAUACAUGGAGUGCAAGAUUCCAUGACGGUGCCUAGAGGAAGUCUCUCAUAGAUGCUCACGUUCUCUCGACAAGAUAUUUGGGGAGGACCCCUGGCUACUGUCACUGCUGCCAUGCCUGCCAGGAGGAGGCACCUUCCUGACACUUCACUGCUGCUGCUCAGCAGGCCUGCCAAGUGGUUCUGCUGUGUUCUAGGAGAAACAGGAAAAAUGCCUCUCCUC
rnacentral:lncRNA from 1 species